UCACCUGUUUAUCAAAAACAUGGCUUAUUGAGAAUAAUUUUAAGUCAAUCUGCCCAAUGAUUUUAAUUUAAUGGCUGCAGUAUAAUUAACUGUACAAAGGUAGCAUAAUAAAUUGUUUUUUAAUUGAAAACUAGAAUGAAGGAAUUAAUGAGAUAUAUACUGUCUCAUAUAUAUAUAAUGAAUUUAAAUUUUUAGUAAAAAUGCUUAAAUAGUUUUAUGGGACGAUAAGACCCUAUAGAAUUUUAUAUCAAUAUUUUAUUAUUUAUUUAAUAAAAAUAUUGAUAUUUGAUUGGGAGGAUUAAUAAAUUUGAAAAACUUUAUUUUAAAAAUAAACUUUGAUUUUAGAAUUAAUUUUUGAUCUUUUAUUAUAAAUGGAAAGAAUAAAUUACCUUAGGGAUAACAGCGUAAUAUCUUUUUAAAGAUCAUAUUUAAAAAGAUGGUUGCGACCUCGAUGUUGAAUUAAGAUAAAUUUUAGACGGAGAAGUUUAAUAAUUGAGUCUGUUCGACUUUUAAAAUCUUACAUGAUUUGAGUUCAAAUCGACGUGAGUCAGAUUGGUUUCUAUCUAUAA
rnacentral:rRNA from 1 species